AACUUUCAGCAACGGAUCUCUCGGCUCUUGCAUCGAAGAAGAACGCAGUCCAUUGCGAAAAGUCAUGCGACCUGCACUCUUUGAGAAGCAUAACUCUUUGAACGCACCUUGCGCGCAUCAACCCAGUUGGUGCGAGGUCCUGUUUGAGCAAGAAGAAAAAGUUGCAAAUGACUGCUAUUGGCUGGUGGCGGUUUAAAGGAAAGCGGGGGCCCGAACGACUCUAGGGCAGCGAGGCGAGUAGCGCGACAAGCACCACUACGCACCACGCAACCGCAUUUAGCUCGCGUGAAAUUCAUGCGAUGCUUAACAGAGGUUGGGCUUGCCCAACCACCAGCAAUCUUCUCAAAUCAGGAUAGAGGACCCGCUGAACUUAAGCAUAUCAAUAAGCGGAGGCU
rnacentral:misc_RNA from 1 species